rnacentral:rRNA from 1 species
UACGUAGGUGGCAAGCGUUGUCCGGAUUUACUGGGCGUAAAGAGCUCGCAGGCGGCCUGAUAAGUCGGAUGUGAAAGCCCCCGGCUCAACUGGGGAGGGUCAUUCGAUACUGUUCGACUCGAAGGCAGGAGAGGGAAGUGGAAUUCCCGGUGUAGUGGUGAAAUGCGUAGAUAUCGGGAGGAACACCAGUGGCGAAGGCGACUGCCUGGCCUGUUCUUGACGCUGAGGCGCGAAAGCUAGGGGAGCAAACGGG